rnacentral:rRNA from 1 species
AGUUGUCGGGUCUUCAUUGACUUGGUAACGCAGCUAACGCGUGAAGUAGACCGCCUGGGGAGUACGGUCGCAAGAUUAAAACUCAAAGGAAUUGACGGGGACCCGCACAAGCGGUGGAUGAUGUGGAUUAAUUCGAUGCAACGCGAAAAACCUUACCUACCCUUGACAUGUACAGAAUCCCGAAGAGAUUUGGGAGUGUUCGAAAGAAAACUGUAACACAGGUGCUGCAUGGCUGUCGUCAGCUCGUGUCGUGAGAUGUUGGGUUAAGUCCCGCAACGAGCGCAACCCUUGUCAUUAGUUGCUACGAAAGGGCACUCUAAUGAGACUGCCGGUGACAAACCGGAGGAAGGUGGGGAUGACGUCAAGUCCUCAUGGCCCUUAUGGGUAGGGCUUCACACGUCAUACAAUGGUACAUACAGAGGGCCGCCAACCCGCGAGGGGGAGCUAAUCCCAGAAAGUGUAUCGUAGUCCGGAUUGUAGUCUGCAACUCGACUACAUGAAGUUGGAAUCGCUAGUAAUCGCGGAUCAGCAUGUCGCGGUGAAUACGUUCCCGGGUCUUGCACUCACCGCCCGUCAAAA